rnacentral:rRNA from 1 species
GACGAACGCUGGCGGCGUGCUUAACACAUGCAAGUCGAACGGAAAGGCCCUGCUUGCAGGGUGCUCGAGUGGCGAACGGGUGAGUAACACGUGGGUGAUCUGCCCCUUACUUUGGGAUAAGCCUGGGAAACUGGGUCUAAUACUGGAUAGGACCAUGCUGUAGGUGGUGUGGUGGAAAGAUUAGUUUCGGUAAGGGAUGAGCUCGCGGCCUAUCAGCUUGUUGGUGGGGUAAUGGCCUACCAAGGCGUCGACGGGUAGCCGGCCUGAGAGGGUGGACGGCCACAUUGGGACUGAGAUACGGCCCAGACUCCUACGGGAGGCAGCAGUGGGGAAUAUUGCACAAUGGGCGCAAGCCUGAUGCAGCGACGCCGCGUGGGGGAUGACGGCCUUCGGGUUGUAAACUCCUUUCAGCCAUGACGAAGCCUUCGAGUGACGGUAGUGGUAGAAGAAGCACCGGCUAACUACGUG